rnacentral:lncRNA from 1 species
UGAGCCCUCCGCCGUCCCUCACCGAUCUUUGAUGUUUUUCCUCAAGAUCUUUCAAGUUUUUCAUGUGUUUUAACUUUGUUUUGAAGAUUUGAGCUUUUGAGCAAAGUUUUGGAGCUUGGAGGUUCAAGAAUCCAACUUCUCCCACCUUCGAGUUUUAGGUCGUCUCUCUCUCGAUCUUCAAGAGGUAAGAGCCGAUCUUAAGCUCAUUGUAUGUUUUAAAUAAGUUUUAUGCAAGAUCUUUGGGGUAGAAAUGCAUGUGUAGGUUUUAGUGAGUUAUGGAUGAUUUUUGAGUUUAUGGACAAUGUGGCUUGCAAAUGCUUGUGUAUGUGUGUUGUAGUUGGGGUUUAAGUUAGUUUGAGACCCCUAGGAGCUUGUGUGCAUGUUUUGGUUGAGCUAAAUGCAUGUUGGUAUGAGUUUGAGGCGUUUUGUGCAUGCUUGAACCAAGUUUCUGCCCUUUUGGGAGAAACCAGGUUCGGCAGCCGAAGGGACUUUCGGCCGCCGAACCCCCUUGUGGAGGCAGCCUUCGGCUGCCGAAGCUUGCCCCCGAAAGGAGACUUUCGUCUCUGUCUGGGAGUUUCGGCCGCCGAAAGUGCCGCCAAACAUGCAUGAGUUUCGUCUCUGUCUGGGAGUUUCGGCCGCCGAAGGUGCCGCCGAACCUGCCUGACUUUCGGCUCUGGAGGGACUUUCGGCCGCUGAAAGUGCCCUGUUCAGCCUUCCUUUGCAUGUUCUUGCAUGGAUGUUUUGAGAUGUUUUAGAGGGUUUUUGGGAGAUGUUUUAGAGUUAUGUUAUAGUAUGUUGGUCCCUCAUUUGAGUCCACCUGUGUAGGUUCGGACCCGAGGAACCGAGGACCCCAGCAGUGAGUCAGCUGCUUCAGUCAGUGUCAGAGCUAGCCAGAGGUGAGUGGAAUAACCCUUAUGCUUUUAAAUAAAUAAAUCAAUUUUGAGCAUGUUCAUGCAUCACGGUUGCCAUGUGAUAUUUUAGGUUGUUUGCAUUAGAAAUCACGAAUAUGUUGCAUUGCAUAAAAUGUUGUUGAUGUGGAUGAAUGUUGAAUGAUCCAUUAGCCCUCAUAUGUUAUGACAUGAUGAUAUGAUAUGGAAGUCCAGAUGUGGCCUGCACUACGCCCCUGGCACUAUGUAAGAGAAAGACCGGACGUGGCCUGCAUUACGCCCCCGGCACCAUGGAAUAUGUAUGUUAUGUUAUGUAUAAGAGAAAGACCAGGUGUGGCCUGCACUACGCCCCUGGCAUGAUUGGAUUAUGUAGAGGGCUAAAUGGUGACAAGUUCAUCCUUGAUAUGAUUAGUUGUGAUGUGAUGCAUUCCAUGAUAGCAUGUGUUUUAAAUGCUUUAUGAUUCUGCUCACUGGGCUCUUGUAGCUCACCCCUCUCCCAAAUUCCCCAGGUUUGCAGGUACGGGUUAGACAGAGAAGUCAAGAAGAGUAAUGAAGUCAUAUGUAUGUAAUAGUUAGAAUGUGGACAUAACAGAUUGUAUAAUGAUGUAUAGACAUGUAAUGUAACAAUAUUGAGAUUAGAAGUGUGCUUGACCAUAGUAUAAUGUAAUCCCUUGUUGAUGCAUGAUCUUAAUGUUAUUAAUGUCCAUGUUUAGCCAACUCAACACAUGUAUUGCCCCAUUGGGGGCAUUGAUGAGAUCCCACAGAGGGGUCAAGUUUAUGAUUAUGUAUAAGUUCAGUGCAUGCACAGGUUGAGUUUGGUG